rfam:Oryza glumipatula chromosome 12, whole genome shotgun sequence.
GCCAAAUGCAGUUUUGCACUGUUCACGUCUAACGUUUGACCGCUCAUCUUAUUUAAAAUUUUUCUAUGAUUAGUAUUUUUAUUGUUAGUGCAUGAUAAAACAUAAAUAAUACUUUAUGUGUGACUAUUUUUUUUUAAUAUUUUCAUAAAUUUUUCAAAUAGGAUGGAUGGUCAAACGUUCAACACGGAUUCCCACGACUGCACUUAUU